GCCAGGCAUGGUGGUGCAUGCCUGUAGUCCCAGCUACUUGGGAGGCUGAGGCAGGAGGAUCACCUGAGCCCAGGAAGUCAAGGUUGCAGUGAGCUAUGAUCAUGCCACUGCACUCCAGCCUGAGCAACAGCGUGCUAUCCUGUCUCAA
rfam:Pan troglodytes isolate Yerkes chimp pedigree #C0471 (Clint) chromosome 8, whole genome shotgun sequence.